UCCCCGGUGGCUGAGUAGGUAAGGAAUCUGUCUGCAAUGCAGGAGGCCCAGGUUCAAUCCCUGGGUGAGGAA
rnacentral:tRNA from 1 species